AUUUUUUAUUUCCAAAUAAUUGAAUGGGGAAGAUCUAGUAUCGUUUUUAUGAUGAAUGAAACAUGAUAUGGUAUUAGUGUUUAUGAAAUAUUAUAUUGAGACUGAUUUAUACAUGGGGCAUCACUUAUGAAGUGUAGAACACUAGAUGGAAUUUGUUUGUUUGAAGGCCUCUGUUUGCUUGGCUACUCAUCUUCCCCCUCUUUUACUUAUGAUGUCAUAUGGCUGUUACACACUUAUACUAUACCAACUGUCCAAUAUGAUGUCAUAUACUUGUUCUUAGAAUUUUGUGUCGGUCUCUUGUGCAUAAACUAAUAUGUCCACGUAGCAUAGAAAUUAGCCCUUGGUAUGAUGGUGAUUUAAAGUGUUAUAGAACAAUAGUUGAAUGAAAUUUUUAUAUACAUCGCUUUUCCACAGUUUCUAGUAUUGCAAUAUUGCUGCAGUCUUUAGUCUAUUGUACAACUUCUUCUCUAUCUGCACUAAAAGGGAAAGUCAAACAAUCUUCUAGGGUUCAGGGAAAUAAUAUAUAGACAUAUUAAAAGUGUUCUUCAUUUCUUGUUUCUCCCUUGACUCAUGAUGCCCUGCAAUUCAAAGAACAGUUGGAUCCUCAAAUUCUUGAAUUUUGUUACAUACACAAGCCAAAGGGAUGAUCUUUCCUAGUUGCAUACCCAAGUCCCACUACAAACAAUUGGAACCCCUAAAAGAAGAUAUUAAUUUUCCUUCAAUGCCUAGAGUGUAUUUCUUGUUUAUUGGAUUGGUCCAUGUGUAUUGCAUUGAAUCCAACCAGAUUAUCUAGUUAAUUAUAUAACAUUGGACGUGGAUUAGUUGACUUGUCUAGUUUAGGUCUCUAGUGAAUAAAUACACUUUGAAGCAAGUCCAAAGUAUGUUUUUUUUCCCUUGGUGUAUUUCCCGCAGGGUUGUCAUUCCUGCUUAGAUCAUUAUAUUAAUUACAUUUACAAGUCAUUCAUACAUACGAAGAACUCAACCGGUAAAUUUUGUCCUACUCAUUAUGCAUAUAAAUUGGGCUUCUAUAUAUUGGUUUUUUUAUUCUUCCUUAAAGGGUGAUGGAUGGAGUAAUUACAACUUUGCAAUAUGUAGGAAUUUUCUUUGGUUUGGAAAUUUAGUUUGUUUUAGGUAUCAUGGUUAUAAAAGUAAGAAACAGGGAGAUUUAGGCGUUCAUGGUAUCUACCUUUCGAACAUUGCUGCAAGUGGUAAGCAUAUCUAUAAUAUUGCCCAAAAGCAAGACAACUUAUGAAUGAAAUGGGCUGAUCACAACCAUGCAAUAUAAAAAACAAGGAUGGGAAGUUAGUUUUUAUUUGAAUCUUGUGCUUUCCCAUAAAUCCUCCUUUUUUGGCCUCACAAAGUACCUGAUUUGCCAACUCUCGGCACUUCCAAGCAAGUCUACAUCUCUUCUCUUGCUCUUCUCAAGAUGUUUAAACAAGGAAGAGAAAGAGUUCCAAUGAAGGUGAUGGGGUUGCUGUUGGGGGAGUUUGUGGAUGAGUACGCUGUCAUGGUUGUUGAUGUUUUCUCUAUGCUGCAAAGUGGGACUGGUGUUAGUGUUUGAAGUUGUUGACCAUGUUUUUCAGACUAAGAUCUUUGAUAUGCUCAAGCAAACUAGAAGGUAUUGUGAUUUCUUGUGCUUUUUGUUUGUUAUAAACUGUUAUGGAUGCGAUGAAGUUUGCGAUUUGAGUACAAAAGAAGUUGGCUAUGUUAGGGUUUUUCGUCAGAGUUGUGUGAUUUUUUGUGGAUUUUGGUGGAGAAAUCUGUUGGAUGUAUGCUUCUUUGAUUUCACUUGAAGUGGUGAACACUGGUAUCUUCUAGGUCAUCAAAGUUGGGGACUUUGAUGAGGGGGAAAUAUUGUAAGGUUCCAAAAUAUAUCCCAUCUUAAUUGCAACAAGCCAACAAUUCCUUUUUUAUUGGAAACAGUUGUCCUAAAUUUAAUCGAAUUUAGGGGUAUAUUAAUGUUUGAAAUUGCGUGUUUGAUUAACUCAGGGGCCACUCUUGAUUUUACCUUGUGUGCCAUAAUAGGUGAAGUAAAUUGUAUUGCCAUGUUCUUGGAAAUUAAAUAGCAUCGCAGCAGGAAGUUAUAGAAUAACAGUAUUCAUAUUAUAAUUUCAUCUCAACUGAAUGAGACUAGCUUUGUUUUAAGCUUAUAUUUCAAUUUAAACUGUUGUAUGGAAGAACAUUUGGGAUGUAAUCUUUUAUUGAAAGUAUGAGUUUUUCUGAAGGAAGCUUUGAUAUGCCUCAGAGUAUUGUUACAGUUCCCGUCUUUUUGAUUAAUUAUGUUCAGUAACCAACAACUAUUUUCAUCUUUAGCAUAGCUGAUCCUGAAGCUUGGACUUUUCAGCUCACCCUUCUAACGUAACCGCUGUAGAAGCUACAAGAGCGGCUUUGUAUGUCAUGAUCUCUGUGAAGAUGAUCUCAUACUUUUGGCUUGCGGAGAUAAAUAUGUUCUCACAAGGGUUCUUAGCUCAUUGAAGAAGUUACUCUUUUGUUUGCAAUAACUUGGAAAGAACAAAAGUUGUGAUGCUAUAGGACUUACUGGCAUUUUAGCCAAGUUUUAAAAUUCUGAAUUUUGGGAACAAGGUAAAAGGAAAAAGAAGGGAAAGGACGGAAAAAGGAAUGGGAAGGGGAACUGAAGCUCCAUUUUCCUUCCAAAUCUCUCCGAUUUUGGAGGGAAAUUUGAUAUCUUCCUCUUCCUGCCCAUCCUUUCCCAAAUCCUUUAUCCAAACAUGGGAUUAUUGUUCCUGUUCUUUUCCCUUCCUGUCCAUUCUUUAAUUUUCAUCUUUUUCUUAAAAACAAAGUAUUAGGGAAAUGAUGAUGUCUAUUUUAGAUCUGUGUGCUAAUAAUAAAUUCAGUUAUAUUAUAAACUAUCAUAAUUUGGAAUAACUGCUUGCAAUAAUUGGGGAUUAGUUGGGGUGAGGAUUGAGAUGGUAGUGAGGAAGAAGGUAUAACAAAGGCAUUAUUUGUAACAGUUGUAGGGGUAGGGUUUUGUUUCGUUUUUGUUUGUUUGUUUGUUUUUUUUUUUUUUUUUUUUUUUUUUUUUUUUUUGUGUGUGUGUGUGUGUGUGUGUGUGUUUGUCUGUUUGUGUGUGAAAGAAUUGCAGGGGUAAUUUAUUUGUCCUUAAAAGGAAGAAAGGGAGCUUGGCGGCUGGGUUAAAUUGUGGUAUCAGUCUAUCAGAUUACUUAUCCCAGAAUUGUUCAGGCUUUACUAUCAAAUUUCUAUUUGCUUAUUGUAACCUAAAUUGCUACAUCUUCUCUCUUAUAGAAAAAUCUCUUACAAUUAUUCCUAAAAUGGAAAUUAGCUCUUAUAUAAAGUUUGCAAGAUUGAGCAAACUAAGAGUGAGGGGUGUUAGGUUUCAAAAAAAAAAAAAAAAAAAAGCAUAUUGUAAGAACAUUGUACAUCUAUCUUUAGAUUCUUCUGAGUCAUGUUAGUUUUACUUUGAUUUGAAUUAUGAUUGUAUGUAGUUUUAAAUGCCUUUUGGCAAGUCAUUGUUAUACAGGGCCAAAAAAACAGCAUAGAAGCUCUGAGAGUUCCGUAUAUAAUCUUGAGGCAGCAUGCUGCUAAACAAAAAGGGGUUGUUUGCUUGUUGUCAGCCGUUCUUCCAUAGUGAUCCAACAAGCUUUGUUGAUGUUGGAGGUGGUGUUUUUAGGUUUGAUGAUGUAUGAUAUCCUAUUACAUCCUGUCAAACGAACAGGACAUACAAUAUAACACAGAGCAGUUUUUUAGGAAAGUUGUGAGUUUACUUGUGUAGAUGGAUGUAUUAUAGCUAAUUUUUAGUAGUCUUUUAGCUGUUACUUUUAGUUGAAUUUCACAAAUGGAGUCAGUCUUUUUAUUAUUCUCACAAACCUUUCUUUGCUGCAGGUUUUCCUUGAAGAUUCAAAGCAUACAUAAUGGUGGAUCAAGCUUCUUAAUUGCAUUAUGCUGGUGAGAUUUUUACCAAAAUAUUUUGCAGUGUGUUUGGAUAAAUGGAAAUGCAAGGAAAAAGAGGGAAGGGAGAGCGAUCGAUGCAAUUUCUUUUGUUCGGAUAAAAAUAUGGAGGUGAGGGAAAUGAAUGGAAGGGAUUAGGAGGGAUUUAUGUAACAAAUCUUUUCAAAAUUGGACAGAUUUGGAAGGAUAUUGGUAAUAAUAAUCAAUGACAUUGAAGACCAAAUGUCAGAUUAUAACUCCGACCACCUCUGUCAUUAGCACCAUCACAUCGCAGCCCCGUUAUUGCCUAUGCUGCCACCGUUAUUUUCCAGAAUCCAUACAAAGUCAACAUAAUUCUAGCUGGUUUUGACCAAGAUACUGGACCAUCACUAUACUUUAUUGACUACAUAGCAACUCUUCACAAGGUAGAUAAGGCAGCAUUCGGCUAUGGUUCCUACUUUGCUCUCUCCAUGAUGGACAGGCAUUACCGUAGUGAUAUGUCCGUUGAUGAGGCCAUCAAACUAGUUGAUGAUUGCAUAGUGGAGAUCAGGACUAGGCUGGUUGUAGCUCCACCUAAUUUUGUGAUCAAAAUUGUUGAUAAGGAUGGAGCUUGUGAAUUUGCCUGGCGCGAAUCCAUUAAGGAUCAGGUUGUUGCAGAUGCAAAUGCAAAUGCUGCUGCUAUUUCUGCUUCUGCCUGAGGGUAUGUAGUUGUUCAAUAGUGAAAAAUGUGUCUUUUAUACUUUCAGAAGGUGGUAGCUGUAAUGUAACAGGAUGAUUUACCAUGUUUAAAACUGUAUGCCCUUACUUUGGAGUUGUCAUCUUGAGAUUUUACCCCACUGUUAUCAUUAAUGCUGAAAUGGUUAUCAAAUUGA